UUGCGUCCCGGGUCGUCGCCUCGUGGGCUCCUCCUUGGUGGCUAUAUAUUCUUUUCGGACUGAAUUAUUGCCAGCCUGGGGGGAAAGCAUCUCCAUUUCUCUAUUAUCUCUCUCCCUCUCGCGCUCCUACCGAAGUGUACUACCAAGUAGCAGCGACCUGAUUAUAUAGCACGGCAGGCCGGUCGUCGCCUCGUCUCGCCGGGAGAGGAUAGGCACAGGCGAGCACAGAGAGAGGGAAGCAGCUGAUCCCAGCCGGAGAACCGUCCAUCCGCCAUGAGCGACGGCCAGGGCAAUGCUCCUCCUGGAGGCUACUUCAUCGGCCGUCCGGUAAACACCGACGAGACCAAGGAGAAAGAACCGCCGCAGGCCGUCCCUGAGCCUGCUCCAGCUGCGCUGAAUACCCCUGGUGAUUACUUCGUCGGCCGCCCGUCGAACCACGAGCAGAACACGGCAGCGCCGCCGGCUAAACCGAGCUUCUUGGCCAAAUUCUGUCCAUGCCUCGCCGGCGGUGGAGCUACCAGCUAGACCGACCGGCCCAGCAGCCGUGCGCCGUGCGCGUGACCACGGGAGGAUUUGAAGUGGAAUCUCAAUUCUGUAUUGGAACUGUGCGAGGUCUCUUCAUCUUUGGAAGCUCUGCUCUGUUUUUCCUUCUUUCUCUAGCAUUUGAUUCCUGCGUAUUCAUUCGUGUAAUGCCGACAAACGUAAACUCGACGAAACUGCAAUCCGUCCAUGUGAAAUGAAAAUGAUGUUGAUUUGUUCAAUUGUA